rnacentral:lncRNA from 1 species
CACAAAAUUUACGUGUGUUAUAUGUACGUACCUUCUCUUCUCGCGAAUUAUACGGUCAGUACGGAACUGAGCACAAAGACAAUGUUUUGACGCACUGAAAUUUAUUGUAGCCCUUUCCCCCCAAAAAACACGCAAAUACUAAGGAUUCUUCGUAGUUACUACAUGUACUAUGUGUCACGAUUGAUGAUUUUUGAUGAGAAAAGGGUGCACGGUUCUGGAGAUCAAGAAUAUACCUCUUGUGUGUGAUGCUCCUUGCACAACCAUUUGGAGAGGCACACUGGCUGACUCUAGGCAAUCUACUUUUUCCAUAUAAAUAUUAGUUUGUGUUCCAUGUUACAACCACAAGACAAGCUCCCUUUGACGGGAUGCUGUGAAUGAUGACAUCUGCAUAUGCUCAGUCUCAAGAGUGAUAUUUUCCAGCACUACAUGUAGUGCAUGUAGCUGAUUUUGACAAUGAGAGAGUGGUAUUGUGGCUGUGCAAAUAUUGCCUAAUACUCUGAGUCUUUCGUGUCAACUGUUUAUGUGAGCCUCUUCAUGUCUGCAUUAUUCAAGUAUGCAUUGGUAAAUAGAAUUGGCUGUGGAUUUCAUAACUAGUGCUGUGCAAUACGACUCAUACUGAAACAUACAUCAUCUGAGCAUCGAGGAAGUUCACAUGUGUUCUUAUACACAUGGUUGACAUUCAACAACACUUCUUUGCAUCACUGUGAUGAAUGUAAUGAUGGAGUAGUUGAUAUUACCUCUUCGGGACAUACAAUUUAAACACUACGUAACCUGUUAAUGGAGUAACCAGGUGAUGUCUUAAUGGCGAAGUUGAAUAACAGCAUUUAGUGAUCAAGCUCCCCUGUCCAGAAGCUGACAAAAUGGUGAAGACAUUCCAAGCAUAUCUACCAAGUUGUCACAGACGUUACAGCUGCAUACACUGUAGAGCACACCUGGCUAACCAUGACGACCUUAUAUCUAAGUCUUUCCAGGGGAGCCAAGGACGUGCAUACCUCUUCAAUUCUGUUGUGAACAUUGCCUGUGGCCCUGCAGAGGAGAGGGUUUUACUGACGGGUUUGCAUGCUGUCUCAGACAUCUUCUGUGAAUGUUGUAAGACCACCUUAGGAUGGAAAUAUGAGCAUGCCUUUGAAAACAGUCAGAAAUACAAGGAGGGCAAGUACAUCAUCGAAUUGGCACACAUGAUCAAGGACAAUGGAUGGGACUGUGACUGAGUUUGCAGCCAGUCAAGGCUGUACAUGUACGUUGACAGUCAUGGGUAUUAAGCAGAGUUGAAACCAGCACUUACUAAAAAAGUGAGCUAUGAACCUGGUCAUUCUGGUUAAAAUGCCCUUAGCAAUAUUUUAUGUAUUGAAUGGUGCCAAGACCCAAAGUGCCCAUUUUAUCAGCAGCUCAGUGUUAGCAUGCUGCUGCUGAAUAAGGAUUUUAAUUUGAUGUAUUAUAAAGAAUCCUACUUGUCACUCAAAUACCUAAGACUGCCACACAAAUCUAGGAAAGUACUUGGCUUACCUGGUCAAGUGGUCACCACCUCAACAGAAAGCAUUCUGAUGAGUAUUCUGACAACAUAAAGGCAGCAUUGUGUUUCUGAGAUAAAAAUACAGGAACUAUUGUUUAACUGGUCUUCAUUAUGAAGUAAACAGGUAGACUUGUCUUUGCGACUAUAUCCUUCAAAAAAAAAGCUGAGGAAAUUGUGUAAUAUUGUAAAAAAAAAAGUAUGAAAUUAUUUAAUUGUGUCCUUCUUUGACCUUAUGGAAGGGAGGCUUGUACCGGUAGAUGUAAUUUUAUGUUUGAUAAACCUUACAAAGUCGACCUUGAGUACAGAUUUAUAAAUUAUUUUUUAAUGCUACGGUAUCAUAAAUGCAUGUAGAUGUAAAAAUUUACGAUAACUAUUGUUGCAAUCUGUAUCAAGCACAGGGCUGUACAAUACAGCAAUUCUGUAACAAAGUUAACUUGGCCAAAGCUACGGAAGUAAGUUAUUAACCUCUUAAAGGAGUGGGAACCACUAUGGUUACAUGUUUAUCCAUUUAAGUCAAACUCAUCAAUUGUUCUUAUGUUCUUAUGUGUAAGGGCAAGUCAAAGAUAAAACGCAUGUAAAAUCUCUAUCUUUUCACUCUUAAUAUAAAUCAUAAUUUUUUCUCUUGAAAACAGUCACAACCAACAAAAACAUGAAGAGAUACCAGACCAUAGAAGUAUGUGUUAAAACCGAGUCAGAGGGCAAUGGUUUUGUGUCACUGGGAUAGGCAUGAGUAAACCUUUUGUGCAUUUUUUGCCACUAAAUUUAAUUUACAAAAUACAAAUAACACCUUCUGAGGCACCUAAAAAGAAAAGGACCAAACAAUUUGGUAGAUAGUCUUCCUGACCAUAAUGUCACAUAUUUUAGUUUUAAUUGUACACUUUACUAGUAUUGGUGUCAUUGCCUGGACAGGUUAUAUUAGGAACUCAACAUUUCCUGCAUCAUACAGUGAAACAUGUAAUCUGAUUUACUGCAGUAUGGUUUUGAAUUAAAAAGUACAAGCAUGAUUAGAAUCUAGGACCUCAAGAGUAUUAAACAUGAGGCUUGGCCUCGCCUGCUUUGCGGGGAAGACAGCUUGCCCGCCUGCUACCUGCUACGUGGGUGUGUUGACCACUAUGCGGGAAGGCGCCUUUACAUAUGUAGCCCAUGGGAGGGGGGGGGGGGGAGUCUCCGCUUUGAUGAACUCAUGAACACAAACAUACACUCCCACCCAUUGUGCUUUUUGGUAUAGCGUUGAUGUGCCUGUUCCUCCCCUUUUUUUCCAACAUAUCUGUGCAGGGCAAAUGGUCAGAAUAUUUUUCAGCCUGUUACUCAGCUCAAUUGCUUAACCUGUGCUUUGCGGCCAGGGAUCACUCCCCACAUAGAAACACAACACGGUGAUGAACAGUUAUCAGUUAUCUUUACUUUGUUUAAUAACAUAUUGAUUCAUUGUACAUGUCAUACCAUAGUGAUGUACAUUGAUGAUACAGAAUGUCCUUUCGUGCCACAUUGUGUCGUCUAUCACUAAGCUGUAUCACCAGAAACCUAGUACAUACAUGUAUUUCUGUACACGGGCUUUAUUCACGAGUCGGCCAUAUCAAAUUGAAAGCGAGGUGACAUCUUCAUUGUUGGAACUCGCGAAGGGAAAUGAAAGCAAUGACAUAAUUAUUUUAAUACCAGUCUGGUCUGAUGAAUAAUUUGAAAUUUGUGAGUUAACACAUUUGUGAUUAGCCACAUUUAAAAAGAAAGUGAAAGUGAGGAUCAAUGCAUUUAGUCUGGCGCCAUCCCAUUCAACAUUCACAAUUUAUAAAAUACAUUCAGGGAACACGACCAAAAUGGCUUCCUCUUGAAUAAGUUCCAUACAUGCAUUUAACUGUUAGUUUUCAUACCGAUCCACACUGACAUUUGGUACAUGUAUAAGUCCAGUGGAUAUGUUCUGUAAGCCUAUUACAAGGUUGUGCUUUUCGCCAUAAAACGCCAUCUUUUGUACAGAAGUGAAAUCCUAUUGAAAUUACCAAAAGUUCAGCUAAAUUUUAACUUUCUGGGGGAAAAAAAGAAAGAAAGAGAAACACCCAAAACCAUGCUUGUAGAUCUCAAUUGCUUCUUUUUUGAUCAAAGUAUAAAAAAGUGAUCAGGUAAGAACUCAUGAAAAUGCAUGUACCUGUAUUCUGGUAUGGGUUAAUAUACCUGAGACCUAAUGACGUCACGUUUUGUUUACAUAAUGCGCUUUGCUAUGAGAGCCAGGUGGUACACAUCCCACCUGGUUCUCAUAGGAAAGUGCACAUGUAAACAAAGCGUGACGUCAUUAGGUCUUGGGUUUUUUCUGUGCACUAAUACGAGAGGGUGCUUUUUUACCACUUUUGAGAGCCCCUUGGACGGGACUCACCGUGUGUGCAUACAGGUUCCUGCGCAUAUAACGCGAAGUACGCGCAACAAAUUAUAGCCAUCUUUGGCGAUGCGUUCCAAUGUCACUCCAAGUAAUCUCCCCCAACUGUCCCUUUCUUACUGGGGAGGGGGUACUUGCGCACGGAGUGGAUAGACUAAUCUCGUGACAGCCAUUUUGUUAAGUGGCAUCAGGCUCAUGCGAGUUGCGCUCGGGUAGUACGCACACACUCUGGGAUACCUUCGACCAAUAGGGUUACCAAAAUGUGUGCACACCUUGUCUUAAAGAACACAUACCCUUUCACGUGAAUAUGGUACCACCUCAAAAAUGGCUUCUACUGUUGGCCGGAUUAGUUGUUGUGCAUAUUUACAUAGCUACACCAAUUAGUAGUCAGGUGGCGCAUGGUAGGAAUCGUGAAAGACUGGUCCAAAGCACUACCAAAUUUUGCAGAUAGAUUCUUAUAGCCCUAAAGAUGAUAAGUAGAAGAGGUGAUACCCGAAUUCUUUUGAGAAGGGUGCCUAAUUUGCGAUAAAUACCUGCUGUAUAAUAUAUUUAUUCCCAUUUUGGGGUAUAUUUUAUUAUUUUUUAUAUUUUGAAAAGUAUAUUUUGGGGAUUCUACUUACAUAUUCUUACUUAAAUAACAUUUUCUAAAGCACAUCAGAGACUCGAUGAUUAUAAGGACAUUAUGAUUCAAAAGGGCUACUACUAUACCCUAAAGUUGCGCGUAUUUACCUUUUCCUCAGAUAUCAACUGCUAGUCUUGCCAAACCAGUUGAGGAGCUUCAAAUUCACAAACUAACUUACUGGCACCUAACAAAUAUAAAUGAGAAAUUCAUGUGAAAACUGAUAACGUCUUGAUAUUGAGCCCCCUCCCCAAAAAUGAGAAAAAAUACCGAGGUUUGGCAAGACUACUUGAUAUCUGGAGAAAAGGUAAAUGCGUGCAACUGUAGGGUGUAAUAAUAGCCAUUUUGGAUCUUUACUAUUGUCCUCUCAUUAUCCAGUCACUUAUAUGCUUUAGAAAAUGUUAUUCAAGUAAAGAUAUUUCAGAAGGGUCCCCAAAAUAUACUUUUCAAAAAAUAAUACCCACAUUAUAGGGGACAAAAAUAUUACACGGCAGGUAGUUACAAUUUAUGCAAAUUAGGAGGCACCCUUCCCAAAAGAAUUUUAAGUGUCGCCCCUUCUAAAUAUCUUCUCUGGGCUAUGAGAAUCUAUCUGCCAUGUUUGGUGCUUUGGACCAAUCUAUGCUCUCGAAAAUCAUAAACUUGCAAUUAGAUAAAAAUUUUCUACAACUUCAAGCCUGUCAUUUCGGAACAUUCUGAAUGCUUUCUUCGGGUUCCAAUCAACAAAUACGCUACUUAUCUUCAGCAAUUUCUAUUGAUUCAGUCCAUGCACGCAUAAGCUGCAUCUAACCUGAGAGUUAUGAACCAUCAGUUUGAUAAAAUAUUGCACCCAUAAUCCAGUGUUUUUGUGAUAGCCAAACAUUUGUAAAUACAUGUACAUAUCUUAAUGCUUUAUUAUUAAAAAUAAAAAGGUUUUACAUGUUAUCUUCUGUGUUUUACCAUAGAUCGUCAGCAUUUUCAGUAAAGAUGUACCAGCUGUGCUAUUGCCCUGUUUUACCUAGCCUUUCGUCAAGGCAAUCGUGGCUCAGAGCGACAUUGAAUUUUGCAUUCUGGAAAAAGAACAAAUCAUUUGUUACAUAUAAAAGAGAAAAUGUCAAAUUUGAAAUGGACCUCAAAAUAUAAUCAUGCACAAGUUUGCUUUCAGUGAGUCCUUUUAGUAUUCAAGUUGACCUUGUUAAUUGAACACAAUCAUGCAGGACAGAUUUUUUUGACAUGGUUCUCAAUAAGCAAAGGCGAUAAUUUUUCCCAAUACAAUGAGUGGGGUCAUGAAACACUCUGUAUGUCCCUCAUUACAUAUUUUAAGUAGUAAUUCAAUUGUUCAUAUCAAUGAAGGAAUUAUUUGCUUUUUAGGGGGUCUACCCGAUGUUCCCCAAUACGUAUGUUCCCCAAUACCGAUAUCCCCCGGGCUAGGGUUAGGGUAAUGAUUUCGGGGAACAUCGGUAUUGGGGAACAUAGGUAUUGGGGAACAUAGAUAUGCACCCGCUUAUUAGUAUUUGACUUGAUUUAGAAAUAAAUUAUUGCAGUCAAAAUCAAAGUCUGUAGACUUCAGUAUGUGUGCACCAUUGUAAAAAAAUUGUGUUUUGCUGAUGGUCAUUGACACGGUAUACUUUUUAACCAUGCAUUUUAAAUUUCUGGAUAGAGGUUUAUAAGCCCAUCAUAUUCUCAAUCAACAGUACGGUGAACCAUUUCUACACUUUUUUAAUUACACGAAAUCCACCAGUCAGUUACAGACCGCUACUCCAAUCCCAUACUCGCAUCCCCCCCCCCUACAGGUUUGGUGUACGUUGAAGACUUUUCAUUGUCACUGGUAAUUACUUGUACUUUUUGUUAGUACGUUCAAGUUUCUGCAAAUGAUUUUGUUUGAUAAAUAUCUAAGGGUAACUUGCUAAUCAAGAACACAUUACCUUUUGUGUCCUCGAUAUACACCCAACACCAACUGAUCAGAGUAUCUUGGUGAGCUUGUAAACGUGAUUAUGAUAGAUAGUUACUUUGUUAAUUCCGGAAAUAAUUAUACUUUCUCUAGUAUGUGUGUGUAUUGCAUGCAUCAUGUGAUUCAAUAGUUGUAGGAUUUUCUUCGAUAUUCUGUGCCUUUAAGAUUUGAAAACCUGUCCCUGAAUGCUUUCGUUCAAUUUCGACAUUUAAUUUAUUAAAUUGAUAAAAGAAACCGUG